rnacentral:lncRNA from 1 species
GGGAAGGGAACAACUCAGGAAUCAGGAUCAUAUGUGUUGUAGAAGCAAGUUACCAGGUGCUCUUUUUUGAUUUGCACCGUGCACUGUACCCCUGCAGUUGUUCACCACGAAUCGCCCUCCCAUGUUACGAAGCAAAACAGAGAGAUACUUCAACAUCUUCGGUACGGUAGAACCUCGGGUUGUUGUUGGUUUUCACCACGCGAAUCAUGGAGCUUUUUAAUUCGCCACACACCUUAGCUAUGACACUGUCUCAGGUUCUGGACCAACUCUGAUGUAAAGUUUUUUCCAAAGUUAACACAGGUUAACUUCUUUUGCCUUUUUUCUUUUCAGGAAAGUGUUUUUAAAUUGUUAUAUGAUUGUACUAUGCUUUAAAAUUGGAAGCAUGCCGAAUGUCAUAUAUGGCUUUGCUGGGUGCAUUUUUUGCUUUUCAUAGUGAUGAAAAACAAUAGCUAACAUAAUAAUACCUAACAAGGAUAGUUGGG